GUACAACUUCGGUCGUACAUAUUCUAAAAUUGGAACGAUACAGAGAAGAUUAGCAUGGCCCCUGCGCAAGGAUGACACGCAAUAUCGUGAAGCGUUCCAUAUUUUU
rnacentral:snRNA from 1 species